GACGAACGCUGGCGGCGCGCUUAACACAUGCAAGUCGAGCGGAAAGGCCACUUCGGUGGUACUCGAGCGGCGAACGGGUGAGUAACACGUGAGUAAUCUGCCCCCCACUUCGGGAUAGCCCCGGGAACCUGGGAUUAAUACCGGAUAUGAUCACCGGCUGCAUGGUCUGGUGGUGGAAAGUGUUUUCGGUGGGGGAUGUGCUCGCGGCCUAUCAGCUGGUUGGUGGGGUAAUGGCCUACCAAGGCUUCGACGGGUAGCCGGCCUGAGAGGGUGACCGGCCACACUGGGACUGAGACACGGCCCAGACUCCUACGGGAGGCAGCAGUGGGGAAUAUUGGACAAUGGGCGGAAGCCUGAUCCAGCAACGCCGCGUGAGGGAUGACGGCCUUCGGGUUGUAAACCUCUUUCAGCGGGGACGAAGCGCAAGUGACGGUACCCGCAGAAGAAGCACCGGCCAACUACGUGCCAGCCGCCGCAGUAAAAC
rnacentral:rRNA from 1 species